GACGAACGCUGGCGGCGUGCUUAACACAUGCAAGUCGAACGGAAAGGCCUGCUUUCCCUUGUGGAUUGCGGGUACUCGAGUGGCGAACGGGUGAGUAACACGUGAGUGAUCUGCCCCCAACUUGGGUAUAAGCCUGGGAAACUGGGUCUAAUUCCCGAUAGGACUGCAGGGUGGUGCCUGUGGUGGCAAACGAUUUUCUAGUGGUUGGGGAUGAGCUCGCGGCCUAUCAGCUUGUUGGUGGGGUAAUGGCCUACCAAGGCGGCGACGGGUAGCCGGCCUGGGAGGGUGGACGGCCACAUUGGGACUGAGAUACGGCCCAGGCUGCUACGGGAGGCAGCAGUGGGGAAUAUUGCACAAUGGGCGGAAGCCUGAUGCAGCGACGCAGAGUGGGGGAUGACGGCCUUCGGGUUGUAAACUCCUUUCGACCGCGAGGAAGCCACCUGGUUGGAAGGGUGGUGACGGUAGUGGUAGAAGAAGCACCGGCUAACUACGGG
rnacentral:rRNA from 1 species